ensembl:lncRNA
GCUUGACAUUACUAAAAACUGAUAAUUCGACGUCUGAAAAGUAGCACAUCUGCAUCGCUUUUUUUCCCUAGACGUCUGUGCCUGCCAAGGCUGAGGGAACUCCAGGAAGUCUUCGCAUAUCAUGUGAUAAAAUGAGGAAACGUGAAACGCAGGCAGUUUGAUCCCCUCACACACCUUUUGUGAAGGUGACCAGCCUGACAGAAUCUGUCAGAAUCUGUCAGGCCGGCCAUGCCCCCCACCAUCUGAUGGUCUCUGGAGGAGAGAGUCCCAGGUGUGCGAGAGACCCCCUCAUCC